AGGUUCCAUAACAGCAUUGUUUCGCUUUUGCUUCUGAGAGACAACAGUCACAAUCUGCACGACCACGAGAGCUCCUUGUCAGAAAAUGUAUUCCCAUACUUGAGCCCAUUCUAACCUUUCAUGGUGAGGACGCCACGGCAGAAGAUUUUGAAGUUGAUCCUCCCAAAAGUGUCGGGGUCUAGACAUUGGGCCAACUUCUUCACCUGUGGAAAGUUACCAGUACUGAAGGUUAUGCUAUUGCGGCUGUCGCUGAAUGGAGGUCUUGGCAGGCUGGACACACUAUAAUGGGUUGUCAUUUCAGGCUAAGAGCACGACCCUCCUCCUCCCCUUGCACCUCCGGUCUUCAUCAUGCACGGCUCCUGGGUCCUCCUCCGGCAGGCCGCUACUGUCGCCUCCUCGGCUUGGUCUUCAGGCUCCUCACACCACCAUCAGUGUCUAGACUCCAUCAUAGACUCCGGGGGAUUAUCUUUUGGUUUUCUACCCCUUUAUAAAAUAUAAUUUCAUAAUGAUGGAGUCUAAUCUCCAAAGACUGUACAUUUCA